rnacentral:rRNA from 1 species
AACGAACGCUGGCGGCAGGCUUAACACAUGCAAGUCGAGCGCCCCGCAAGGGGAGCGGCAGACGGGUGAGUAACGCGUGGGAACGUACCCUUUGCUACGGAAUAGCUCCGGGAAACUGGAAUUAAUACCGUAUGUGCCCUACGGGGGAAAGAUUUAUCGGCAAAGGAUCGGCCCGCGUUGGAUUGGCUAGUUGGUGGGGUAAUGGCCUACCAAGGCGACGAUCCAUAGCUGGUCUGAGAGGAUGAUCAGCCACAUUGGGACUGAGACACGGCCCAAACUCCGACGGGAGGCAGCAGUGGGGAAUAUUGGACAAUGGGCGCAAGCCUGAUCCAGCCAUGCCGCGUGAGUGAUGAAGGCCUUAGGGUUGUAAAGCUCUUUCACCGGAGAAGAUAAUGACGGUAUCCGGAGAAGAAGCCCCGGCUAACUUCGUGCCAGCAGCCGCAGUAACAC